CUGUGGUUUCGUUUUUAUCUUUUCAGAAGCUUUUUCGUUAAUAUUUCGUUAAAUUAUAUACAAAAAACUUCAGAUAAUCAUCUAUGUUUAUCGAAUAUUCACUUUAGUAUCCUUUAAUUUUAAUUUUGUUACUGAUUUAAGAAAAAAAAAAUAAUAAAAUUGAUAACAAAAAGAGAAAAAUGAAACCACAGGGGGGCAAAUUGAUACGUUUUAAACCACAGGGUAUGAAAGUGAGAAUGCAUGAAACCACAGGGGGGGUUUUUGAAGUUUUU
rnacentral:lncRNA from 1 species